UAGUCCACGCCCUAAACGAUGUCGAUUAGCUGUUGGGCAGCAUGACUGCUUGGUAGCGAAGCUAACGCGUGAAAUCGACCGCCUGGGGAGUACGGUCGCAAGAUUAAAACUCAAAGGAAUUGACGGGGACCCGCACAAGCGGUGGAUGAUGUGGAUUAAUUCGAUGCAACGCGAAGAACCUUACCUGGUCUUGACAUGUACGGAACCCUCCAGAGACGGAGGGGUGCCUUCGGGAGCCGUAACAC
rnacentral:rRNA from 1 species